rnacentral:rRNA from 1 species
GACGAACGCUGGCGGCGUGCUUAACACAUGCAAGUCGAACGGAAAGGCCCUGCUUUUGUGGGGUGCUCGAGUGGCGAACGGGUGAGUAACACGUGAGUAACCUGCCCUUGACUUUGGGAUAACUUCAGGAAACUGGGGCUAAUACCGGAUAGGAGCUCCUGCUGCAUGGUGGGGGGUGGAAAGUUUCGGCGGUUGGGGAUGGACUCGCGGCUUAUCAGCUUGUUGGUGGGGUAGUGGUUUACCAAGGCUUUGACGGGUAGCCGGCCGGAGGGGGUGACCGGCCAAAUGGGGACGGGAAUCCGGCCCAACCCCUCACGGGGGGCAGCAGGGGGGAAUAUGGCACAAUGGGCGGAAGCCUGAGCCAGCACCGCCCGUGGCGGGAUGACGGCCUUCGGGUUGUAAACCGCUUUCGCCUUUGACGAAGCGGGAGUGACGGUAAUGGGAAAAGAAGCACCGGCUAACUACGU